GCCGGCGUGAUGAAACUGGUAGACGUGCCAGACUCAAAAUCUGGUGGGCUUUUAGCCCGUGUCGGUUCGACUCCGACCGCCGGCA
rnacentral:tRNA from 1 species